UACGUAGGGUGCGAGCGUUGUCCGGAAUUAUUGGGCGUAAAGAGCUCGUAGGCGGUCUGUCGCGUCGGAUGUGAAAACUCGGGGCUCAACCCCGAGCCUGCAUUCGAUACGGGCAGACUAGAGUGCGGUAGGGGAGACUGGAAUUCCUGGUGUAGCGGUGAAAUGCGCAGAUAUCAGGAGGAACACCGGUGGCGAAGGCGGGUCUCUGGGCCGUAACUGACGCUGAGGAGCGAAAGCGUGGGGAGCGAACAGG
rnacentral:rRNA from 1 species